GUUAAGCUAGAAAUUGCAUUGUCAACUCAACUGAUUCAUCCUUCUGUUUCUACAGACACUCCCCUAUCAAUCUGAUGGUUGAGCUUGAGACAUUGAAUAGGAAGAAAGAUGUUGUGUGCCUUAUCUUGUCUUAUCCUCCUUUCAACUCCUUCGACAAAGAGAGACACAAAAGUUGGAUCAUGGAUGUUUUGGAGAUUAAUCACAAAGUGAGAGAAUUGGAAGCAUCUUCCAAGGGGAAAGAAAUAAAUAUUCAAAAAGUACUAUCUUAUGAAAUCACUCGAUUGAUGGAUCAUUCAACCCAUGAUAUUGAAGAUUAUGUUCCAUCCUUCAUCAUUAACAAGAUGUUAAAGAAGAAUCUUGUUGCCAGAACACCUGAAAGGGAAGUGCUUGAUUUGGCUAUUGAUUUUACUGUUCGCCAAAUUUUACAAGAUUUAGGAAUUCCAGAACUUCGGAGGAUUGGGAUUUCAGGAAAAGAUGAUAAAAGCCUCAUGUCAAGAUUGAUGAACCUACCCGGAACUAAAGAAGCUUUUAAUAUUGUCGUUCAGGUUGAUGUCUCAUCUUGUUGUACCAUUGGAGAAAUUGAACAUAGCAUUGUGAGAAAACUGGGUCUCUCAAGGUCUAGUAGACAGGAAGCAGAUGAAUUAUUGAAAAGCAAAAAUUUCUUAAUCCUUCUUGAUGGCUUUGAUUCGGGGAUAAAUCUAUAUGAAGUGGGGACCAACUGGUGGAACUCAGAGAACUUUCAAAAGAUAGUUUAUAGAUGUGGAUCACUUCAUAGAUUUGACCCAACUGGAGUAGGUCUGGGGAUCAGAUUGGAGGAUCAUCUAUUAUCAUGGGAGUUAUUUGUUGGAAUGUUGGAGAAGUUAUGCAUUCUUCAAGUAUCCAAUGCUUCGUUAUACAUCUGUUGAAACAGUGUUGCGGCCAUUUACUUGCCACCACCCUAAUAGCAAGAGCCUUGAAAGGGGUCAACGAUGUUCGCAUAUGGGAAUAUGCAUCUCAUAUUCUGGGCUUGCAAUCAAUAUCACAAACAGAAGACAGAAUUCUGUUUAAUGCAUUGACAUUCAUUCGGAGAGGUUUGGGUUCAGCAGAUCAAUGUUUAAAACACUGCACAUCUUACUUGGAGAGCAGUGGGACAGAUAAAAUUGAUUUGAUUGGGAGGUGGGUCCAAGGCACCUUAGUUGGAACACUUGAUGAAGGAGAAAAGGUUGUUGGAGCUCUUGUCAAUGCCUUCUUGUUGGAGAGUUCUCAGAAGGGAAAUUCAAUCCGAAUGCGGCAUGAAAUCUGUGUAGAGUUAAUAAAUUUGUAUGAAACUGAAAUGAAUCCCAUACUUGUUAAACUAGAUGGAAGAGGACUAACAGAGGCACCAAAACUUGAGACAUGGACGGAUGUCACUGAGAUGCAUUUGAUGAAUAAUAAGAUAUCUAAGCUACCAGAAUAUCCAAAUUGCCCCAAACUCAGCUUAUUGUUUCUACAAGCCAACCAUCAUCUGAGAGUUAUUCCUCCUCAUUUUUUUGAAUGUAUGCCAGUCCUCAAAGUUGUAGACUUGUCCCAGACUAGAAUAAGGUCUUUACCACAAUCCUUUUUUAAGUUAGUUCAACUCCAAAAAUUCUUUUUAAGAGGUUGUGAACUAUUCAUGGAGCUACCACAAGAAGUUGGAGAAUUUCACUAUCUUGAGGUGCUUGAUCUGGAUGGGACUGAAAUAAAAAAUUUACCUGUUUCUAUUGGAAAAUUGACGAAUUUGACAUGCUUGAAAGUGUCAUUUUAUGGGUAUAAUGACAGUGAUAGAAAAAACAGCCAGUCAAAUAGAAUCAUUCCCCAAAAUUGGAUAUCUAAUCUGCUUCAAUUAAAAGAGUUAAGCAUAGAUGUGAAUCCAAAUAAUCAGGGGUGGAAUGUUAUAGUGAACGACAUUGUAAAGGAAAUUUGCAGCUUAGCUAAGUUGGAAGCUCUUAAACUUUACUUGCCAGAAGUUGUACUUUUGAAUGACUUGAGGAAUAGUUUGUCAUCCCUGAAGCACUUCAGAUUUACUGUUGGCCGUCAUGAGCAGCGCAUAAUAUCUUGACUACCACUUGAAGCUGCUGUUAAACAUGAAGAAGAAGAAAGAUGCUUAAAGUAUGUGAAUGGUAAAGGUGUUCAAAUUGAAAUUAAGCAGGCACUCCAGCAUGUUACAACAUUGUUCUUGGAUCGCCAUUUAACUCUAACCAGUUUAUCUAAAUUCGGGAUUGGGAAUAUGGAGAAUCUAAAAUUUUGUUUAUUAGGGGAAUGCAAUGAGAUCCAAACCAUUGUGGAUGCAGGUAAUGGUGGAGAUGUUCUACUUGGAUCACUAGAGUAUUUGAAUCUUCAUUAUAUGAAGAAUUUAAGGAGCAUUUGGAAGGGCCCACUUUGUCAAGGUUCUCUAUUCAGUCUGAAAUCUUUGGUGUUGUAUACCUGUCCCCAGUUGACUACCAUUUUUACAUUCAAUUUGCUCAAAAAUCUCCGCAAUUUAGAGGAGCUUGUGGUCGAAGACUGCCCCGAAAUCAACAGCUUAGUGACUCAUGACGUUCCUGCUGAAGAUCUACCACGGUGGAUAUACUAUCUUCCAAACUUGAAGAAGAUAUCACUCCAUUACUUGCCUAAAUUGAUCAGCUUUUCUAGUGGUGUACCGAUUGCACCAAUGUUAGAAUGGCUAAGCGUCUAUGAUUGCCCAAGCUUCAGAACUCUUGGCCUGCAUAGAGGAAAUUUGAAGGUGAUUAUAGGAGAGAGAGACUGGUGGAAUGCAUUGCAGUGGAAAAAAUCAGAACAGCUUUGGCUAUCUAAUCGGCCCUCAAUCUUUGUUCCAAUUGAAAGGGACAAAGAUUUGACAACACAAUUAGCUGAAAUCAAUUAUCAGCUUCCAGCUCGGAUGCAAGGAAGAGAGCCUUCUCAACAGUCAGGUUCGGGAACAAGGUCAAAGCAGAAGCAAGUAGCUCAGGCACUCUCAGGCAUUAAGCUUGAGCCAUUAUGAAACUGCUGCUCCUAGCUCAGGCAUCUUUUCAUAAAGUGGUCACUCUCAGCACUCCAACCUGCUCAUUCAAGCUUGAUGAAUGGGAGCAAGUUAAGCCUCAACUUGGAACUUUGCAGACCACUGCUGAUCUUGUACAAGAAAAGAAAACUCAGAACCUCACGAAACUCUGUUUGGAUCAUCAAGCCUUGCAUCUCUUAUCUCUUUGAAUAAAUUGUUAUAUAGACUUCCAGUGUCCUGACUUCAGAAUUCAGAAGUGAUCCCUCAGUUUUGAUUUGUAUUCAAGUGACAAUUGGUUUGUUCCAUGUCAUGCACAUCCCUCAGUUUGGUUGGUAUUGAAGUGAUAAUUGGAUUGUUUUA